AGAUAUUCAAGUGCCGAUAUUUCUGGACGUGGGUUCGACUCCCACCAUCUCCACCA
rnacentral:tmRNA from 1 species